rnacentral:rRNA from 1 species
UGGUGGAGUGAUUUGUCUGGUUAAUUCCGUUAACGAACGAGACCUCGACCUGCUAAAUAGUUCAACAAAGGUUUUACCUUUGGUAUGUGACUUCUUAGAGGGACUAUCGGUGUGUAGCCGACGGAAGUUCGAGGCAAUAACA